rnacentral:lncRNA from 1 species
UCCCGGUACCUGGGCGGGCCCUGGGAUCCCCGGGAUGCUCAGGAAAGAAUGACAGCCCUCCUCUGUGUGGAGUCUCUCACCGGACCUGGAACUCAGGGAUCCUAGACAGGUCAGCUGGAAGGGAAGGCACGCCUCUCCAUACCGAGUCAGAGGUUCACCGCGAAAGAGAGGGCGCCAUCCUGCCCCCACCCCGCCCCAACCCCGCUCCAACCUGCUCCUCCAGCAGAGCCCGGUGUUCUUCCUGGCUGAGGAGUGGUUCCAGCAGAGCGGGCUCUUCCACGUCCUUCAGCUCCCCCAGUGGCGCCGGAUCUAGGAAAGGUCGUGCCUUUUGCUGAAACUCUGGUGUCUACAGGAGCUCAUAUAACAGGCUGGAGUUUUCAGGCAGAAACCACCCCGAAGGGUGGAGUGUGGAACUGAGCUUCCGUGACGGUCUUGAGUUUUCCAGGCCCUCUGUGGGUGUCGCCGUUGCCGUGAUAGUUCACACACGCAGGGGUGUGGAUCUCGUUCGUUUUCAUGUAGAAAACGAGAGCGAAACUGCAGAGAAAAGAAACGUCGGGUGCAUCACGGCCUGACCACGGAUUCCUGUUUCCUGCAACAAGGGGAGUCUCCACUGUGGCCGGUCUGGAAACCGGAAAGGAGAGCGAAGUCACGAUGCUGCUUUUCCACGCUUCGCUGGAGGUUUCUGUGUCCCCGCAGAGCUCGGGAAACAGCCAACGUGGUCGCGCUUUCGGGGGCGGGAGACACGCGAGCAACAGGUCCCCUUGCAGAGGGCGAAGGAGCGUGGAACCCGGAAUCACGGUUCACUCGGCCCGAGUGUGACUCCCGUGUGGACGGGCCUGUCCGCCUCGCGCUCUGUUGCUCAACGCGGGGCCGUGUCGUCUGUGAACCACGUGGAUGGAAAACGGACAAUCACCCGCGUCUCGGCUCAUUGCUCUCAUUCCUUGGGAGGCGGAAUUCGUCCGAAUUGCUCCGGGAUGAAGUGACCCGGGCCGGCGAUCCGGAGGGCUGGUGAGCUGGUGGGCGCCCCGCAAGCAGACGCGGCUGUGGGCCGAGCUCUCGGCCUGCACCGGGCACCCCACGUUUUCCCGGAGUGCGAGGUCCCGCUGGCCCUGGAGGCGGAAGACCGCUUUCCUCUCUGCUUUC